GUGGGACACAUUGUGUGCACUUAUCUUGGAAAUGAAUCUUCACUGGGCCAGCUGAAAUUUCUGGCCCAAACUCACAGCUGAUUUGUUCCAGACUUGUCUCUCCAUUCCCAUUCUAUCUAUGCAGCUUUAGCUAAAAGCAGCAGCUGCCCUGCCUGCAGUGACCAUGCUGGUGCAAAGCCUUCGUCUGACUCUGCACUGACAAGUUCAGUUUCAAAAAAGAAGGAUAACUUGUUUUAUUUUACCAGGGCUUUGUGAGAGGCUGAAGCUUCCGGAUAGGAUCUGCAACGCUCAGGUUCAGGUAUCAGUUGCAUAAUUUCCUGUUAUUUCAACAGUCCUGUUUUUUUUUCCUUUUCUUUCUUUCUCUCUCUCUCUCUCUCUCUCUCUCUCUCUCUCUCUCUCUCUCUCUUUUUAAUGAGCUUCUUUGCAUACUGGAUAAGUCUUAUAUAAGCAUACGUUGGGUUGGAAAAAAAAAUUUUUUUUUGAGUAUUUUUUUUGGCAGACAUCUCCUGGCACAUGAUACAGCACUCAGAGCCAUCAACCGUAGCUGCGAUACAGAUGUUCAUUGCCUGUAUAAUCUUUCUCAUAUCAAGCAAUCACCCCGAGCCAAUUCCUUUAUUUUAAGCACCUUGCUGUGGGAACAGAGCUGUAAAUGCAGGAGCUGCGGAGUUCCCUCACACGUUUUACAACAGACAAACAGAAAAUUCAGCGCAGGUUCUCCAUGCAAACCAAACAGGCAGGGUGCUUUAGAUAAGAAAUGAGAGCCACUAGCAGAUAGUAUUAGAAAAAAAAGUCUCUCUCUCGAAAGAGAUACACUGGAGGAGUGCCAAUAGCACAUAGCUGUGUGGAGACUAAAUAAAACCAGGUGAGUUUCCUGCCAUUGUGGAAUAUCAAAUGUGAUUUCCAUUUGUGAUGGACGUGCUGGUUCUGCCAAGAUCAUCUGGAGGUUUUCAUUUUAGGACUUUUUAUUUUUGUUGGCCCAAUACAGAGCUACAGCCCAGAGCUAAAAGGGAGUGUUGCAGCACCGAUGCUCACAGCAGAUGAUGCCUUAAUCUGAGUGAGAAGCUCUUCCUGGGAGAAGGCUUUUCUGCAAUCAGUGCUAUAGGGCACAGGACAGCUCCUAAUACAAAACACAUGGGAAAACCCUGUGGAAAGAAAUGAUGUAUGAGCACUGAUCCUUACUCCCGAGCUACCAGAAGAGAAGUAUGAAGCUGGCUCAAAGCAAGCUGGGCUUGCUGGAAACCAAAGGUAAAGCAUCUGCUGUCCUCCCGCAGAGUGCAUAAACUGUGUUUGUGGUUACACCGUAGCAGCAGGAGCAACUCUUCUGUGCCUCAGAGAGCUUAGUUGCUGUUCUGCCAUCUUUGCUCUUUGAAAUGUGAGAGCAAAAUUAAUUUCAGGAGAAAAAUAAAUGGAUUUAGAGCAAGGAUGAAUUUGGCUUCUAGUGCCACAGGAAUGCAAGAAAUCACCCAGCAAGAGAAAGAAGGCUAAACAGUGCAAACCUCUCAUAAAUCUGGAGAGAAAUUUUAAUCCAAAGUGCUUACUGACCUUCACUGAUGCUCUCCUUCAUCUCACCAGUGUUUUAUUCUUCUUAAAUCCAGCCCCACCACUGGCAGACCUUCAGAGAAGUCGGUUCUUGCACAAACAGGAAGGCAGACUCCCUUCCCAUUAAUUGAGGUGGUGCUUCCAAUCCUCAGCCAGAGGACACAGGGGCAGGGAGGUGUUUGCCUCCAGGACCAGGAUUGGAGCUGGUCUGGAGAAAUACAUUUCCCAGGUGAGCAGAUCUGGCCCUUCCUGGGCAUCAGGUUCAGAGCCAGCUCAGGGACAAACUCAGCACUGUCUUCUGACUGUUAUGGGGGGAACCGAUUUCUAUCCUGAGUGCUUCAGCCCAUGCCAUGCAACCAGGAGUGUUGGACCCCUCCAGAUGCCCUAUGAAUGAAUUUCUCAAAGGCUGCCUGGGAGGAAACUCAAUCACAUUUCAGUUUAAUUAAGUGAUACCCAAAGUGAUGACGUCUGGAACCGACCUUGCUGGAUCUUCUCCUUCCCGCUGUGACUGCCAUAACUCCUGCAGCAGCAGCUGAGAUUGCUCAGACAUCUGCAGCUCCAUGUGGAGCCUCACUGCUGGCUUUGGUCUCAUGUUACCCAGCUGAGAUGUGAUCCUGGCAGGUCUGGGUGGGGGCUGCCUCGUGCCAUGCUGGGCACAUAGCAGCAUGCCCAUUGGCAGCUCAAUGGGAACCAACAGUGGAAUUACAGCAAAGAAUGUUUGAUGGACCACAAAAGGCUUUGAAAUUUUCUUCCAUGGAAGGCCAGUCUGAUCCUAUUAUAGUCCACAGUACGUCUGCAAUCUGUAGGACUUGCCGGUAACGUGGAUAUGCAUUAUUCCUUUAAUAAAAGCAAAUGAUGGCAAGGAAUGUG
ensembl:lncRNA